rnacentral:rRNA from 1 species
ACGCUGGCGGCGUGCCUAAUACAUGCAAGUAGAACGCUGAAGAGAGGAGCUUGCUCUUCUUGGAUGAGUUGCGAACGGGUGAGUAACGCGUAGGUAACCUGCCUUGUAGCGGGGGAUAACUAUUGGAAACGAUAGCUAAUACCGCAUAACAAUGGAUGACACAUGUCAUUUAUUUGAAAGGGGCAAUUGUUCCACUACAAGAUGGACCUGCGUUGUAUUAGCUAGUAGGUGAGGUAAUGGCUCACCUAGGCGACGAUACAUAGCCGACCUGAGAGGGUGAUCGGCCACACUGGGACUGAGACACGGCCCAGACUCCUACGGGAGGCAGCAGUAGGGAAUCUUCGGCAAUGGGGGCAACCCUGACCGAGCAACGCCGCGUGAGUGAAGAAGGUUUUCGGAUCGUAAAGCUCUGUUGUAAGUCAAGAACGGGUGUGAGAGUGGAAAGUUCACACUGUGACGGUAGCUUACCAGAAAGGGACGGCUAACUACGUGCCAGCAGCCGCGGUAAUACGUAGGUCCCGAGCGUUGUCCGGAUUUAUUGGGCGUAAAGCGAGCGCAGGCGGUUUGAUAAGUCUGAAGUUAAAGGCUGUGGCUCAACCAUAGUUCGCUUUGGAAACUGUCAAACUUGAGUGCAGAAGGGGAGAGUGGAAUUUCCAUGUGUAGCGGUGAAAUGCGUAGAUAUAUGGAGGAACACCGGUGGCGAAAGCGGCUCUCUGGUCUGUAACUGACGCUGAGGCUCGAAAGCGUGGGGAGCGAACAGGAUUAGAUACCCUGGUAGUCCACGCCGUAAACGAUGAGUGCUAGGUGUUGGAUCCUUUCCGGGAUUCAGUGCCGCAGCUAACGCAUUAAGCACUCCGCCUGGGGAGUACGACCGCAAGGUUGAAACUCAAAGGAAUUGACGGGGGCCCGCACAAGCGGUGGAGCAUGUGGUUUAAUUCGAAGCAACGCGAAGAACCUUACCAGGUCUUGACAUCCCGAUGCUAUUUCUAGAGAUAGAAAGUUACUUCGGUACAUCGGUGACAGGUGGUGCAUGGUUGUCGUCAGCUCGUGUCGUGAGAUGUUGGGUUAAGUCCCGCAACGAGCGCAACCCCUAUUGUUAGUUGCCAUCAUUCAGUUGGGCACUCUAGCGAGACUGCCGGUAAUAAACCGGAGGAAGGUGGGGAUGACGUCAAAUCAUCAUGCCCCUUAUGACCUGGGCUACACACGUGCUACAAUGGUUGGUACAACGAGUUGCGAGUCGGUGACGGCGAGCUAAUCUCUUAAAGCCAAUCUCAGUUCGGAUUGUAGGCUGCAACUCGCCUACAUGAAGUCGGAAUCGCUAGUAAUCGCGGAUCAGCACGCCGCGGUGAAUACGUUCCCGGGCCUUGUACACACCGCCCGUCACACCACGAGAGUUUGUAACACCCGAAGUCGGUGAGGUAACCUUUUGGAGCCAGCCGCCUAAGGUGGGACAGAUGAUUGGGG